rnacentral:rRNA from 1 species
GGAAUAUUGCCCAAUGGGCGAAAGCCUGAUGCAGCGACGCCGCGUGAGUGUAGAAGUAUUUCGGUAUGUAAAGCUCUAUCAGCAGGGAAGAAAACGACGGCACCUGACUAAGAAGCCCCGGCUAACUACGUCCCAGCAGCCGCGGUAAUACGUAGGGGGCAAGCGUUAUCCGGAUUUACUGGGUGUAAAGGGAUCGUAGACGGCGAAGCAAGUCUGAAGUGAAAACCCAGGGCUCAACCCUGGGACUGCUUUGGAAACUGUUUUGCUAGAGUGUCGGAGAGGUAAGUGGAAUUCCUAGUGUAGCGGUGAAAUGCGUAGAUAUUAGGAGGAACACCAGUGGCGAAGGCGGCUUACUGGACGAUAACUGACGUUGAGGCUCGAAAGCGUGGGGAGCAAACA